rnacentral:rRNA from 1 species
UACGUAGGCAGCGAGCGUUGUUCGGAAUUACUGGGCGUAAAGAGUGUGUAGGCGGUGCUCUAAGUUCGGUGUGAAAUCUCCCGGCUUAACUGGGAGGGUGCGCCGGAAACUGGAGUGCUCGAGCGUGGGAGAGGAAAGCGGAAUUCCUGGUGUAGCGGUGAAAUGCGCAGAUAUCGGGAAGAACACCCGUGGCGAAGGCGGCUCUCUGGGACGGUACUGACGCUGAGACGCGAAAGCGUGGGGAGCGAACAGG